GAUGAACGCUAGCUACAGGCUUAACACAUGCAAGUCGAGGGGAAACGACAUCGAAAGCUUGCUUUUGAUGGGCGUCGACCGGCGCACGGGUGAGUAGCGCGUAUCCAACCUGCCCAUCACUUGGGAAUAACCUUGCGAAAGUAAGACUAAUACCCAAUGAUAUCCCACGAAGGCAUCGGAAUGGGAUUAAAGAUUUAUCGGCGAUGGAUGGGGAUGCGUCUGAUUAGCUUGUUGGCGGGGUAACGGCCCACCAAGGCAACGAUCAGUAGGGGUUCUGAGAGGAAGGUCCCCCACAUUGGAACUGAGACACGGUCCAAACUCCUACGGGAGGCAGCAGUGAGGAAUAUUGGUCAAUGGGCGAGAGCCUGAACCAGCCAAGUAGCGUGCAGGAAGACGGCCCUAUGGGUUGUAAACUGCUUUUAUAAGGGAAUAAAGUGGGUCACGUGUGACUUUUUGCAUGUACCUUAUGAAUAAGGACCGGCUAAUUCCGUG
rnacentral:rRNA from 1 species